UUUACUGGUGCCACAGCCACUGUCUCUAAAAGGACUGCUUCUGCCCUCUGCCUGCUGGCCCAUUCCACUGAGGUCUCAUUCCCUGCAUCUGGUGACUAGUACCUGGUUUCUGUUGCAAAGCUUUGACUGGCAAAGGAGACCUGAACUGUCAUGGUAGAGCUGGAGUUAGAGCUGACCCACACCAUGGUCUACCCGGUCCUAUGGCAGCAGACGAGCACAUUCAGAGCAAAGCUCACAACUUACGGCUUCCCGUGGCUCCUCCAAAGCUCUCCCUCAGGCAGCCGGUGCACAACAGACCAUUUUUCCACUCUACACUUUGUACGCAUGACUGCAGCCCUCCACACUUGCAGAAUGUCACUAUAGUGACCUGUGUGGAGUGUGGUUUUGUGAGCCAUUUCAUUGGUGGUAAAAUAGGCAUAGCA
rnacentral:lncRNA from 1 species